CUAAUACUCCCUUUGUCCAAAAAUACUUGUCAUCAAAAUAAAUAAAAGGGGAUGUAUCUGGACUUAAUUUAGUUCUAGAUAUACUUUUUUUAUCCAUUUUGGUAACAAGUAUUUUCGGACGAGGGAGUAUAAG
rfam:Triticum urartu cultivar G1812 contig143261, whole genome shotgun sequence.